UUUCAGACGACAUAAUGUGCUUCGACACUCCGCAGGGCGCAGCCUCCGCUAUCGCCUCAGGUGACAAGGUAUGUUCAUCCUCUCUCUCUCUCUCUCUCUCUCCUUUUGCAUGAAUCGAUCUUUUAUAUAUGUUUCUUUCUUUCGUUCAUCUCAUCAUUUGAUUUGGUCUAACUUUGGUUCGUUUGAUUCGGGCUUUUACCUUUGUUCCAAUAGUGAAAAGUAGCUUCCAAACUAGGGUUUUUUGUGUGUGUGUCACUGUGUGUGAUGGCUAUCAAAAGCUGAAUGAAUAUAUUAUGGCUCUCUUAGUAUUUUAAUAAAUGUGUGCCUUUCUACACGUGUCUUUCAUGGCGAUCGAGUGCAUAAUCUAUGGCAGGUACUUUUUUUCUUUUCUUUUUUUUUCCUCUCCCUGAUUCCACUCCAAUCUCAGAACAGCAGCAACCAUACCCCUUUUCCUCAUAGUUUUUUGCAUUUUCACAUUCAAUCCUACGAAAAUUAAGAAUCCCUUCUAGUGGGUUGAGCCGCCGUUGAGGUAAUAAUUAACUUUUUCGAUCUCUAACUUAUGGUCAGUGCCAAAUUAAGGGUUUUUUUAUAUUAUAUUUUUAUAUGAAGAUACAUACCACCAUUAUUGAUGUUCUGUGAAGUUGGCUCAGCUAGAAUUUCAGUUAAUAAUAGUGUCAAAGACUCAAAGCACUUGCCAUCAGAACGUACUAACACAUGGAAAUCAAGAGCAGGCUUUAACAAAACAAAAGUUAAUGGUUUUUCUAUUAAUUUGCACAGGUAUUCUGUAGCAAUGAUCAACCAAUCACUGCUACUAAAGUUGAUUCCCCAUCCUGAAAUCAAGAAUGGUGUAAUUGGCUGCCAAAAAAAACAAACACAAAGUGUAGUGUAUUUAAUAUAAAGAGUGAAAGACAAAACUAUAUAUGAUAGUGGAUGCCACAUAUAAUCUAAAAGUCCCACUACUUCUUCAGUACUACAAGUUCAGCCUCCUAUAAUAUAUAUAGUCACCUCAUCUCCACAUAUUUUUGUUAUCUGUAAUCAUCAAAUUUUAGUAGAAGCAAUGAAUGUAAAAGAAGCUGCAGUUUUUUGUUAUCUAAUAAACUGUUCUCUUCAUUUUUUAUUUUGUGCCUGUGAAAAUUUUGCACUCUUUAAUUGAUAGAUUUAUUGUUAUUAGUUAGCUGUCUUAUGCACACUGCACAUGCGCACAAUUAUUUAUUGGUGAUGAUAGAUUUGGAAUCCACAUAUAAUCUAAAAGUCCCACUACUUCUUCAGUACUACAAGUUCAGCCUCCUAUAAUAUAUAUAGUCACCUCAUCUCCACAUAUUUUUGUUAUCUGUAAUCAUCAAAUUUUAGUAGAAGCAAUGAAUGUAAAAGAAGCUGCAGUUUUUUGUUAUCUAAUAAACUGUUCUCUUCAUUUUUUAUUUUGUGCCUGUGAAAAUUUUGCACUCUUUAAUUGAUAGAUUUAUUGUUAUUAGUUAGCUGUCUUAUGCACACUGCACAUGCGCACAAUUAUUUAUUGGUGAUGAUAGAUUUGGAAUCUCAGGGCUCCUAUAAUAUAUAUAGUCACCUCAUCUCCACAUAUUUUUGUUAUCUGUAAUCAUCAAAUUUUAGUAGAAGCAAUGAAUGUAAAAGAAGCUGCAGUUUUUUGUUAUCCAAUAAACUGUUCUCUUCAUUUUUUAUUUUGUGCCUGUGAAAAUUUUGCACUCUUUAAUUGAUAGAUUUAUUGUUAUUAGUUAGCUGUCUUAUGCACACUGCACAUGCGCACAAUUAUUUAUUGGUGAUGAUAGAUUUGGAAUCUCAGGGCCGGCCCUGAGUAACAAGCGAGUUGUUUGAGAGAGAGAGAGAGAGAGAGAGAGAGAGAGGGAGAAAGGAGAUGAAUACCUAACCCACUGACAUAAAAAAAUAAAUCUUUCCAAUGUAAUCAAUUCCUACAAAUCCAUUAAAAAAAUAUAUAUGUGUAUAAGUCUUGAAAAUUCGGGUUGUGUGGUGUGAAAGGUUGGAUCCCAUAAUCAAAGGGCAGAUUUCACAAAAUCUGGAAUCCUUCAUAGGUAACCCUUUUUCCAUAUUUUGGCGAGUUUAAAGUUGAUGAUACUUCUGAUAUCAACUUGUUCUGAUUAUGAUCAAUUCAUCCUUUCCUUCAGUCUCUGGUCUAUUUAUGCUCUAUAUAUUACAAAAUAUGGUUUCUGUGAUUUUAUUUCCCACAAGAACCAGCAGUUGAAGUGAAGUUACAGAGGUUUCAAAGUGGCACUCAAGCUCUAUGUUUCAAAUGAUUGCAGCAUUUCUUGAAACCUUUGAAUUUCUUUGACUUCUUUGAUGACGUGUGAACCCUAGCAACUACCCGCCCUUUGGACUUCUAGCUACAAGGGAUUCCCCGGGUGGAAGCCUAUUUAUUAGUGUGUAUGAGAGAUAUUAUUAUGCGGUUCCGGACAUCCGGUCUUGGCUAACUACGCAGUGACACAUAAACAAAAAGUGACGGACAUUCGGUCUUGGCUAAUUACGUAUUGACACAUAAACAAAAAGUGACGUAAAUAUUGAGUUGAUGUUGACAUAAAAUUGACACAUUUAAUCAUGUGUCCACAUGUAAUUAACGUGAGAAUAUAUAAUAAUUUUGACGGUGUCUAUAUGUAUUUUAUUAAUUCAUGAACCUUGAAAAUGAUACACUUACUAUGAAAAUGAUACACUUAUUUAUGGAGAAAAUUAUUGGGAGCUUUACAUAAAGACCACAACUUGCUCGUUAGAAAAAUAAUAAAUAAUAAAAAAAAAAAAUCCAAACUUUCCUUAAUUCAAAUUUGAGAAAUUUAGGGUUUACUUAGUUUGUAA